rnacentral:snRNA from 1 species
AUACCUGGCAGGGGAGAUAACAUGUUCACAAAGAUGGUUUUCCCAGGGCAAGUCUUAUCCAUUGCACUCCAGAUAUGCUGACCCCUUUGAUUUUCCCAAAAGUGGGAAACUCAACUACAUAAUUUGUGGUAGUUCAC